rnacentral:rRNA from 1 species
AGCGAACGCUGGCGGCGUGCUUAACACAUGCAAGUCGAACGUGAAAUGUAGCAAUACAGAGUAAAGUGGCGUACGGGUGAGUAACACGUGGGUAAUCUACCAAAGAGCCUGGAAUAACCGACCGAAAGGUUGGCUAAUACUGGAUAGUUCAAAUGAAAUAUAAUGUUUCGAUUGGGAAAGGGAGCGAGCAAUCGCCUUCACUUUUUUAUGAGCCCGCGUCUGAUUAGCUAGUUGGUAGGGUAAUGGCCUACCAAGGCUACGAUCAGUAGCUGGUCUGAGAGGAUGAUCAGCCACACUGGAACUGAAACACGGUCCAGACUCCUACGGGAGGCAGCAGUGGGGAAUCUUGCGCAAUGGACGAAAGUCUGACGCAGCCACGCCGCGUGAGUGAAGAAGGCCUUCGGGUUGUAAAGCUCUGUCGGAAGGGACAAAAACGUUUAGGGUUAAUAGCCUUAGAUCUUGAUGGUACCUUCAAAGGAAGCACCGGCUAACUUCGUGCCAGCAGCCGCCGUAA